UUCCUUCUCUUCAUUGAUUUUAAAAUUUAAACUGAUAAAGGCUGCCAAGGUCUGUACCAAUUGGAAAGAGAAAAUUCUAUCUCUUCCAAAUUUCAGAUUUUCGAUCGUACUGCUCACUCAUGCUCAAUCCCUAUCUUUUCUUAUUUUCCUAUCUCUCCUUUUCACUUCAUCACUUCUCUGCUUGAAGAACAGUCUUCUUCAUCUUCUGCACCCAUUCGGAAAACGAAAAUCAAUCUGUUGUUCUUCUUCCUCGGUCGUCUACAACGAAUCAAGGGGCAGAUUCACCGCCUGGCGAGCUCGGGCCUAUGCCCAGGCUCUAGGGGAAAGAAAAAUGAAAUUCUUUGGACAAGCUUCUCUUUUGGCCCCAAAAUAAAAAGAAAAAAGUGGGCAAAAUUGGGCGGUGGGUGAGGAGAUCAAGGUGAGCCAGUGAGAGAGAUAGAGAGUGAGAGGUGAAAGCUUGAAAGGCGGUGGGUGGAGAGUGAGAGGUUUCCAUCUCCAAUUUUCAUUUAUCCUUUCCCUGAAGUCUCUGUUUUGCUGAUCUGUUCUCUUUUUAUUUUUUACUAUUUUGGGUCGGUGGGGCAAUAGGAGGGUGAACAGAGGAGAGAAAAAGAAGUUUGAUUUUUUGUCUCUGUUACAGAAAGUGAGAGGAAAAGCUCUAUUGUUUUUCUCUUGCUUUGAUCCUGUUAUUGUUUUGUUCUCCCCUGCUACUUACUGUUUUCCUCCUCUUUGGGACCGUGAAUCUCUUAGAAAAGUUUGUUUCUUUUUUAAAUGAAAUUAGAAUGCAAUUUAAUAUUGAGAUUUUGGAAUUAUUAUUGUAUUUAAUUGAAAUUUUGGGUCUCAUUUUAAAUAUGUAUUAGUAAUAGGCAUGAUAAUAUCAUGAUAUUUAUUGACAUUUUAACACACUGCACUAUGCAAAUAAAAAAAAUCAUGCUGCAAACACUACCGUGGCUGCAACCGCAACUGCAAUUUAAAAUACUGAGUCAAACGUCAGGUGCGGAAAGUUAGGUUUAGACAUUGUUUUUUUUUUCAUUUGGAGUGAUGCAAUUCUGGAUUUGUUUCUCUUGCUAAAACAUGAUGAAAAAUGAGGUUGCUUUUAUUUCUAAUUGCUAUUUGCUCUCUUUAUUG